CAAUACAGUGUGUUGUCUGAAGGAAACGGACAAGUAAACGGAAGAGAAGAACAACUUUCACGUUAGCGUUUUUAUUUAGCCAUUUUAACGUCCUGGAACUCAACAUAUGAUUAAUUUAACUGCACAUCCCAUGUUGUGUUUUGUUCGAGUUGGAGACAGGAUUUGUUUGAUAGCUAACUAGCUAGCUGCUCAAGUUAGCCAACAAUGGCUAACUGUAUGAUUUUUCACACUCAAAUAGCCUCCAUCAUGGAGGUUCUAGCGAAUGCAGCCGUGGCAGAGAUCUGUAAACUCGUAGAUAACGACUAUGCAGUAUUUCGUUUGGAAAUAACUCACAGCCAGAAAGAAAUCAGGGCAUUACGGAGAAAACUGCUGGAAUCCAAGGUGGCACGGGAGCGCGCAGAAAGGACAGCCCGAGAGCGCGUCCUCGCCAGUCGUCCCAGUAGUGUCAAGAUCCUCGACCGAUACAGAGGAAUGGCAAGAGGUGAAGGACAUCUCACUGGAGGUCACAGGACCUUUGUGAAGCCAGGGGGACACAAUGAAUGGAGAGAUGACCAACCAAUCACUGUUGAUGAGGGGAGUGGAACCUCAACCCAGCAUGUUAUCGUGAUAGAAUCUGCAAAGGCUGAAGGUCCUGGUGUCAAGCUAGAGAGGUCUGAAGGAGAGGAGGACCCACGGCACAGCAGAGACAUCCAGACUGGAACGGCUGACACGUCCUCAGUAGACAGAGAGGACCCCACCACCGCCCAAGCACAGCCAAGGACCCAUCGCAGCAUCACGGAGGUCAGUGGAAUGCCGAACACCGUCCUCAAGUCAGAGACAGACACCAAGACUUUAACUGUAACACACAGUCUUUUACAAACAGGAUCUGAUCACAGAUCAGACCCAAAGAGACUGGGGCCGAGGAGACUGGGCUGUCUUCCUGCUCCCGGCUCAGAGUACUUACCAGUAUUUCACCAGAGAACUUUUAAUUCCCGUGGGGAUGGUGAUGGGAACGCUUUAGACACUGGCGGUGAUGAUUCAUCUUGUUCUUACGCUACAGAGAUGGGCCCUGGCAACAUAUCCUUGGGUUUAGAGACACAAACUGAUCUGUCUAGAGGGGACUGGAACCGGUACAGUAGUAGUGUAUACUCUGAAGGGUGCCUAGAUAAGAAAGGGGAGAGUCUGGUCGUAAAUGAGGUAACUGUGAAAGUGGAGGAUGACGUUCCUCCCACAUGGAAUGCAAAUACUCACCUAGGAGACGGAAACUCACAGGGCAGAGAUGUCUUAGAUUACAGGGAAAGCUUAGAGACAAAUCUAAAUGUCACGACCCACUCCCCUUUACACACGUUCAGGGAUUGUGACCCAGUGUCCACAUUGAUGGGGCCUUCCGAUUUACACAGCCAUGUCCUUUUCGAUCAGGCAUUGAACUCAAAUGACAGGGCUAGAGCCCAGACUCAGGGAGGGGGGGCCACAUCAGGCAAUGGCAAAGAGAAACGGUUCCUCUGCAUGUUCUGUAACAAAGGCUUCAGCUGCCUCCAGAAGGUGGAGGUUCACCAGAGGAUCCACACAGGGGUGAAACCCUUCAGCUGUACCCAGUGUCACAUGCGCUUUGCUCAGGCUGGCACUCUGAAGAGGCACCAGAGGGUUCACACAGGGGUGAAACCCUUCAGCUGUACCCAGUGUCACAUGCACUUCGCCCAAGCUGGUGACCUGAAGAGGCACCAUAGGGUCCACACGGGUGAGAGACCCUACAGUUGCCCCCAGUGUGAGAAGAGAUUCACCCGCCAGCAUCAGCUAAAGAUGCACAUGAAGGUCCACACGGGAGAGAGGCCAUUUGCCUGUACGCACUGCGGGAAGACAUUCUCAGAGAGGAGCUACCUCAGGAUACACCAGCAGAAAAAACAUUCCACUCAAUAGCUUCAGAUUUUUAGAUGUAUUAAAUAUAAAGAUUCAUUUUCAUUGUUGUCAGCAGAAAAAUACUCAAAGAUGCAUUUGGAAUAACAGAUUUCAGUGUUGAAUAUUUCUGGGUCGAAUACUGCAUCCAGACAUGAUUAUAUCUAUAUAUAUAUAUGCGUGUAUGUUUGUGCCUAAAAAGGUUAUUACAUAUUGUGUUUGUACUGUGCAGGCCAGGGAUGGGCAACUUUAAUGGGGCGGGGGCCACAAAAUAUCAGAACUCAGAGCUGGCUCUAGCCUUUUGGGGGCCCUAAGCUACAUUUAGCAAGUAAAGCAUUUUUGCAGCCCCCUUCUUGACAGCAAAGAGAACAUUUUUUAGUUUUAGAGUUAAUUUCCUGCAGUUCUACACAUUUUGCCAUGGGUUGAAGAGACGGGGUUAAUCCACAGACAAAAGGGGUGCUGCCAGUUGCCCAUCCCUGGUGUAGGCUAUAUGUGGCGCGCUCUAUCAUAAUCAGUCGGUCGUCGCAAUGACUAAUUUGCAUAUAAAUUGUGUUUUUGUCAAAAUGUAGACUUUUUGCUAUUUGGGGGUUUCAUCUGGUUUUAACAAAACAAUGUCUUUGCUUUCAUUAUCUGUAUGUAUUAUUGCCAAAUUCAGUAUAAAUAUAGUUUUAAUCGUAUAUAAUGUAGGAUGAAACGUAGCUCUUUCCCAUCCGUUUGGUGGAUGCUAGCUUGUAACUGGUGUAGGCUUUCGCGGCACUAGUUUAUCUGCACUAUCAAAACCCUCCUCUAUUCCGAAAUCAUGAAUGAAUUACAAAAUAGUUAGCUAGCUAUGUAUUUUGAAUCAAGCUACAAUAGGCUAUUCAAUCGAAUGAUUUUCCUGUUUUCCCAAUCAAAGCUACUGUAUUGUAUCAUCCUCGGGAAAAGAAAGUGUACCUCAGGCUACACUUCUCUUGCACUUCAAACCCCAUCAUGCAUAGUUACACUGUCACUACUGUCUACACAUUAGCUAGCUAGCGUAGCUUUCUACUGCGUUGAUGGAUUCCCGGGAGAGAGAAAUCGCUUGAUUAAAAAAAAAAAAAAGUAAUGUUGUGCUGGGAGCUGGUUCAGACGAUCAGUGGCAUCAACUUAUUGCCAACUACUUUUUGACCCUGCGCCACAGAGCAACGUCAUAAGCGACUCUGACAAGCUCGAGUCCGAGCACCUUGAGGAGGCAACCCGUUAAUGGUGGAUCCGUCAAUUAAGGCGCUUCAGUCGGUUGAGGGGAAAUAUGGUGCUGGGCAAGAAAUUGAAAAGGCUUGCGAGUUCAAUAAAGGGAAGCAGUGAUAUUUUAUUUUUUUACCCCUGAGGAGAUGGUCAAGAGACGUGACCAGAUGAAUUGGCUAACUCAACAAUGGUAAGUGCUUGCCAUUCAACUAUUAGUCAAGUUUAUAUGACUGAGUAUGUAAUGUGUGUGUGUUUUCUGUAUCUGUCAUUGUCUGGGUGUGACGAGGCACAUAAAUGCAUGAAAUGGCCAUCUACAAAGUUAUAACAUUUCUUUAUAUCAAACCUGACCCAUUUACACUACUAGUAAAAGUGUGUUUGUGUGUGUGUGUGUGUGUGAUUCACACAUGCAUUUCAAGAUGUGAAGGUUGCGUAGUUUGUGUUUUAUUGAACGUGUUUAUAUUACUUUAAAAUGUAUUGUCUAGAAUAGAUGACGACGAUGACUGAAUGUUAAAGAAUUAUAUAUUGUCUUAUUUUUCAGAUGAAAAACAUCAGUGCUCAUUGGCGAGAUCUCUGGUUCCAUGAACCUCUGCAAAUAAACGGUCACCUCGAACAGGAACUAACAAAAAAGAAACCGAGGACAUAUUUCUUUGAUAGCCAGCAAAUCUGCAGAGAAACCUUCAAGUUCCGACACGUUUGACUGCAGUGAUAAAGUUCUACAAGGAACAUGGUGAGGCUCCAAGGAAGAAGAGGUGGUGGUCUCGCCAGAAAACAGGUGCUGUCCUACGAGGACACUCGGCGACUCGUCCACUAUGUCAACAACUUCGCCGAUGUCCAUGCAAUGCCGCUCCCAGGACAGAGCCCUGGAUUUAAGAGGGCAGACAUCCUGGUGCUUCUGACAUUUGAGACCAAGUCCUUUGUGUGUUACAAAAACGUUAAUGCGUGUUCAUGGUGAGUGUUUUCCUAAAUUUUGAUACUUAUGUUUGUCAGCUCAAGCCAGCGGCAAAGACUCUAACCAAAGCCCACAUGAACCGGAUCCAAAGAGUCUGUCAGACCUUACUCUCUGGUGACGCGUGUAUGUUGUCAGAUUUUUUAAAAUAUUUCUCAUUUUAGUUGUUGCUUAGAGACCAGAGCUUACUUUGACCAAUUUUAGCUCAUUCUGUUGCUUGUAUACUACAUGAACAAAAGUAUGUGGACACCUGCUUGUCGAACAUCUCAUUCCAAAACCAUGGGCAUUAGUAUGGAGUUGGUUCCCCACCCCCCUUUUGCUGCUAUAAAAGCCUCCAUUCUUCUGGGAAGGCUUUCCACUAGAUCAGUGUUCGCCAACCGGUCGAUCUUCAAGGCAUUCCUAGUCGUUCACCAUAUAUUUCUGUAGAAAAGCCAACGAAUGAUAAAGGCUUGCUCUCCUUUUAAAAAAAUCGUGUUUAGCUGUUGCCGGUAGGUGCACUUGAUUCAAAAGUCCUGCUCUGGGUAAACAAAGUGUUCCCACGAGACAAACUCCGCCUAUCCGGCUGACCGGCAAAUCUGUGACUAAAACGGGUGGACCUACUGCGCUGCUCAAUCGGAUAGCUCAAAUCACCGUGGCGACAGAACUUCCAUGACCCUGGCCACAGCCAAGUGUAAUAAGCUCCUAACCUACGUAAAAUGUAAUAACUUUUAAAACCAUGACCACCGAGAGACUGUCACCGAAUACAGCAAAGAGCUACAUUUUUUUUAUGAGUGAGUUCAUGUUUAAGUUUAUAUUCAGCACUGGCACUGUUUUUAUUCAACACUAUUACAAAACAUGCUUCUCCGUACUUCCGCUCGGGCUGCAGCUGCAAUGAAUGAGCAGCCAAGUAUCAAUAGCCCUGCAUUUUAUUAUAUUUGUUAGCAGCUCGUCGUGUUGAUUUUAGUAUUGAGGAAUAUUUAACUUUCUCUGGUCAUAGGAACAACAUGAAUUUGUGCAUGAGGCAGAUGCGGUGCAACUCGAGUUUUGCCAUCAGGUGGAAGACUGUGUCCCCUCUCUCUGGUCAUCAGUCUCACCGGAGGAAAGGAAGGAGAGAGCAGGGACCGUGAGAGGUGGUUGGGAAAAAUCAUUUUGAACGGUCAUCCAACUCGGAAUUCCAAGUCGGAAACUCGGGCAUCUUUCUAGAGCCCCCAACUUUUCGACCUGAAGAUCACUGAUGUCGUGAUUUGAUCUCGUUGACCAUCAGAUGCAGGUACCAUCAGUUCACUAUUGUAAAGUGGCUGUUCCACUGAUGUCAGAAGGUGAAUUCACCAAUUUGUAAGUCGCUCUGGAUAAGAGCGUCUGCUAAAUGACUUAAAUGUAAAUGUAAAAAUAAACUAAUUAUUUAAAUUCAUGCCUCACAAGUGCUAAACCAACUGAUCUAUUUUGAAAUAUAAUAUGGUCUGAUUAACAAUAUUGGCAGGCCAAUCAUAUAGCCAAUAUGCUGUCUCAGGUUAAUGUAAAAAAAUAAAUAUUAGCAGUAGAUCUCCGCUUGCUUUUUGACUGCGAAAAUUAUCUGAACUCAAAAGUUUGGUGGCCACUGCACUAGAUAUUGGAACAUUGCUGCGGGGAUGUUACAGAUACAAGUAUCCUGUGUGUGUAUCCUGUGUUUGCUCUUCUUCUCCCCUCACAGGUGAAAACCAUCAGUCACCAAUCAAUCAGAAGACACACCUCCUCCUGUUUUCCUACCCUUUCACAGUUCCUUUCCCUUGGUUUAAAAACCCUGUCAGUUGUUUGCUCUAGAGCUCAAUCUCUCUGUAAAUGCCAUGUCUGUAGGUCUGUGUUUCACUCUCUCUUUUGUUUGAGCACCUCCAUAGCACUUUGUCAUCACCUGUGAGUAUUGUUUAUGUUAAAUACACUAGUUAUAACUGGGCGGACCACCCACUGUAUUUUUGGUUAGUUAGUUAGUUAGCUGUUGUUAAAGUAGGCUAGUCUAGCUUAGUUUUUUUUUGAAUAGUUAUUGUUUCUUUCCUUGGGUCCAGCUCAGCCCCUUUUCCUGCUCCCCCCAUUACCGUGUGUUUUCAAAUAAACCUUGAGUUUGACGGUA